GACGAACGCUGGCGGCGUGCUUAACACAUGUAAGUCGAACGGAAAGGCCCUGCUUUUGUGGGGUGCUCGAGUGGCGAACGGGUGAGUAACACGUGAGUAACCUGCCCUUGACUUUGGGAUAACUUCAGGAAACUGGGGCUAAUACCGGAUAGGAGCUCCUGCUGCAUGGUGGGGGUUGGAAAGUUUCGGCGGUUGGGGAUGGACUCGCGGCUUAUCAGCUUGUUGGUGGGGUAGUGGCCUACCAAGGCUUUGACGGGUAGCCGGCCUGAGAGGGUGACCGGCCACAUUGGGACUGAGAUACGGCCCAGACUCCUACGGGAGGCAGCAGUGGGGAAUAUUGCACAAUGGGCGGAAGCCUGAUGCAGCAACGCCGCGUGCGGGAUGACGGCCUUCGGGUUGUAAACCGCUUUCGCCUGUGACGAAGCGUGAGUGACGGUAAUGGGUAAAGAAGCACCGGCUAACUACGUG
rnacentral:rRNA from 1 species